GUUCCCGUAGAUCACCGAAGUUAAGCAACGUUGAAUCUGGCCAGUACCUAGAUGGGUGACCACUGGGGAAUACUAGGUGCUGUAAG